GACUCUCGGCAACGGAUAUCUCGGCUCUCGCAUCGAUGAAGAACGUAGCGAAAUGCGAUACUUGGUGUGAAAUGCAGAAUCCCAUGAACCAUCGAGUCUUUGAAUGCAAGUUGCGCCUGAAGCCAUUAGGCCGAGGGAACGUCUGCCUGGGCGUCA
rnacentral:rRNA from 1 species